AAAUAGGCCCUUAUCAGGGCCCCCCAAAUAAUUCCACCACAGAGUAU
rfam:Pteropus alecto contig167682, whole genome shotgun sequence.